rnacentral:rRNA from 1 species
GACUCUCGGCAACGGAUAUCUUGGCUCUCGCAUCAAUGAAGAACGUAGCGAAAUGCGAUACUUGGUGUGAAUUGCAGAAUCCCAUGAACCAUCGAGUCUUUGAAUGCAAGUUGCGCCCAAAGUCGUUAGGCCAAGGGCAUGUGUAA